UACGAAGGGGGCUAGGCGUUGCUCGGAAUCACUGGGCGUAAAGGGUGCGUAGGCGGGUCUUUAAGUCAGGGGUGAAAUUCUGGAGCUCAACUCCAGAACUGCCUUUGAUACUGAACGUAUCUUGAGUUCGGGAGAGGUGAGUGGUGAACUGCGAGUGUAAGAGGUGAAAUUCGUAGAUAUUCGCAAGAACACCAGUGGCUGAAGGCGGACUC
rnacentral:rRNA from 1 species